AGAGUUUGAUCCUGGCUCAGGACGAACGCUGGCGGCGUGCUUAACACAUGCAAGUUGAACGGAGCACAUUAAGUAGCAAUACGAGGUGUGCUUAGUAGCGGUGUGCUUAGUAGCGGACGGGUGAGUAACGCGUGAGUAACCUACCUUUGUGAGGGGGACAACAGCUGGAAACGGCUGCUAAUACCGCAUAAGGCCACGACUCCGAUUGGAGACGAGGUAAAAGAUUUAUCGCACAAAGAUGGACUCGCGUCCCAUUAGCUAGUUGGUGAGGUAACGGCCCACCAAGGCGACGAUGGGUAGCCGACCUGAGAGGGUGAUCGGCCACACUGGAACUGAGACACGGUCCAGACUCCUACGGGAGGCAGCAGUGGGGAAUAUUGGGCAAUGGGCGCAAGCCUGACCCAGCAACGCCGCGUGAGGGAAGAAGGUCUUCGGAUUGUAAACCUCUGUCCUUGGGGACGAAAAAAAUGACGGUACCCAAGGAGGAAGCUCCGGCUAACUACGUGCCAGCAGCCGCGGUAAUACGUAGGGGGCGAGCGUUGUCCGGAAUUACUGGGCGUAAAGGGCGCGUAGGCGGCUCUUUAAGUCAGAUGUGAAAACCCAGGGCUUAACCUUGGGAGUGCAUUUGAAACUGAAGGGCUCGAGUGCAGGAGAGGUAAGUGGAAUUCCUAGUGUAGCGGUGAAAUGCGUAGAUAUUAGGAGGAACACCAGUGGCGAAGGCGACUUACUGGACUGUAACUGACGCUGAGGCGCGAAAGCGUGGGAGCAAACAACAGGAUUAGAUACCCUGGUAGUCCACGCUGUAAACGAUGGAUACUAGGUGUGGGGGAGAUACAACCUCCGUGCCGCAGCUAACGCAAUAAGUAUCCCGCCUGGGGAGUACGGUCGCAAGGCUGAAACUCAAAGGAAUUGACGGGGGCCCGCACAAGCAGCGGAGCAUGUGGUUUAAUUCGAAGCAACGCGAAGAACCUUACCAGAACUUGACAUCGUCUGAAUUACUCUUAAUCGAGGAAGCCUUUCGGGGCAGAUAGACAGGUGGUGCAUGGUUGUCGUCAGCUCGUGUCGUGAGAUGUUGGGUUAAGUCCCGCAACGAGCGCAACCCUUAUAGCUAGUUGCCAGCACGUAAAGGUGGGAACUCUAGCAGAACUGCCGUUGACAAAACGGAGGAAGGUGGGGAUGACGUCAAAUCAUCAUGCCCCUUAUGUCUUGGGCUACACACGUACUACAAUGGCCUGAACAGAGGGAAGCAAAACUGCGAUGGAAUGCGAACCCCUUAAAAGCACCCUCAGUUCGGAUUGUAGGCUGAAGCCCGCCUGCAUGAAGUUGGAGUUGCUUGUAAUCGCAAAUCAGAAUGUUGCGGUGAAUGCGUUCCCGGGCCUUGUACACACCGCCCGUC
rnacentral:rRNA from 1 species